rnacentral:rRNA from 1 species
UACGUAGGGGGCAAGCGUUGUCCGGAUUUAUUGGGCGUAAAGAGCGUGUAGGCGGCCAGGAGGUCAGCUGUGAAACUCGAGGCUCAACCUCGAGACGCCGGUUGAAACCAUCUGGCUAGAGUCCGGAAGAGGAGAGUGGAAUUCCUGGUGUAGCGGUGAAAUACGCAGAUAUUGGGAAGAACACCAGUGGCGAAGGCGGUUCUC